CAAGGCAACGAGGGUCUCCUAAACAUUUUGCAGCUGCCGUAGUAGCUGACCGAAGUUUCCCCUAGGGACACGCAGCUAGAUCUCCUCCUGGGUCUUAUCACAGGCACUUUUUCCUCCACGCUGGGGAGCCGUGGGUGGCGGUGAUGCUGGUGGUGCGCUCCUCGGCUCUGCGCCGAGAAGAUGCCGUGCUCCCCGGCACAGAGUGCCAGGAGGCAGCCUGCCACCCCGACCGUGCCGGCCAGCAGCGGGCCGAGCGCUGGGGGCAGCGCCUGGAGGCUGCUCAGCGACACCAGCCACACCAGGCUGCAGAACACCAAGACGAGGAGGCUCCGGCGCAACUUCAGGGAGCUCUGCGGCAGGGUCAGCGCUGCCACCGAGACCAGCACCGUCAGGAGCCUUCCUAGGAACAUCCGCGGCUCCUCUUCGUGCCCCUCCGCGGGCAGCAGCCACUGCAGCGCCACGAAGUCCCCCGAGUAGCAGCACAGGGGCAGCGCCAGCAGCCACCAGCGGGUCGUGCCGCCGCCGUGCUCCCCGCGCCGGCCGCCGACCAGGUAGCAGCGGCCCCCCGUGCGGGGCUCGGGCCGGCCCCCGCCCGGCGCCGCAGCCGCAGCCAGGGACGAUGAGGAAGCGGUGGAGGGGCAGGAACGCUGAACCGGCGCGACUUUGUGCUUUAUUCUUGUCAUCUAGCUUCGAGGUGCCGCGGAAAAGUUGUUCGUACGGGUAUAAAGCACACGCAGAGUAUCGAAGUGUUUUCCCUCUAAGGAGCAUCACUUUUUCCCUUUUAUUCCUUUUUUUUUUUUUUUUUAAUACCUGAGAACAGUGGAGACUGGGAAGUGCCUAAGGAAGACUACAGAGACAGGACAUCACAUGAACCCUAAAUACCAUGGAUGCAACCAUCUGUGGCUUCAGCACUUUCUGAAUCAGAAGUGGUGUCUUAUUCUUCACAGUUCUUGUUAUCUACAGUAAAUUUCACCUGCCUAUGAAGUCAGCUGUGAGGCUGUAAGCACAUUCUCUCAGUCAGUGACUUUGUAUUAACAGUAUACUUUACCACCUUCCCAUCUUUUUUCAAAUCAUUUAUCAUUAAAUUAAUUAGCUUUAAUUUUAGUGAUCUGUGUGCUGAAGAAAUGUAUACAUUCCAAAAUGUAAUAGGAAUAUAGUUGGUCUUUAGUAAUGUCUCUGUUGCCUAACAACACAUCCUACCACAUUACAGGACCCUUUCUUGAGGAGUUUCCAAUCUAAUAAUGAAUUUCAGUAUAAAGAAAACUUGGUUUGAGUACUUUAGUGUCUGUUGUAAAUUAGAAUAGCAUUAACUAAAUUGUUCCUUUUAAGAGAAUAAUUUUUAGAAUAAGGAAAUAACUUCCUUAUUAGCUAUUUCUUAAACAAAUACAGAAAAACAUAUUGUUUUAUUAAAAUUGAAGACAUUUAUGUCAGGGGAAUGUAAUUUUUUUUUGAUCAUCCUCCAGUUUCAGUACCAAAACAAGAUGGGUGGCUCAGGGAUUUGAGUCAGGUUGGCUGUCUCUGACUAUCUAAUAAUAAUAAAUACUAAUAUAAUUAAAUAUUCCUUUUAAGUAAUGAUAAAUAAGAUUUUCCAAGUUAAGUCUGAUUCAUCGGUGGCCUCGCUGUCUUUAUGCCGAGGCAGCUUUCUUGUUCCUGCUUUUCUUAUUUUCUCCUUUUCCUCCUGAGCAGAGGGAAUGAGCCAAUGUCAGAAAGUUUGGCUGUCAGCAAGGGCCAAGCCACCACAAUAACCAUGUAUACUCAGCCCUGGAGAUCUGAUCAGGAAAAUAUUGUUAAAUCUUAGAUUUUCAUUGCAAAGACUGACCCUGCUACCAUCACUGUAUUUUAAUAGAGAAUUUUCAUUUGUUUGGUCAAACUCAAACCCAGACCUAAUUUUAAAGUGGAAUUCUUCAUGGAUGAGACUAUGAAAAUAUGGUGUUUAUACCCACAGCAUACUGGCAGUAGAAUAGAACAACUCAUAACUGUUUUGGCAGCAAAGACUUACUUUUUCUUCAUUAAAUCUAUACUAGCAAAAUUCAUAAACUGGUGGUAUCUAUCUCUACAGUGGAAAAUAUUUACUGACUUGAUUGACAAUUUAAUAUAUGUUGUCAAGUUGUGUUUGUUAGUUUCUGUUGAUCCUGAGACAUGUGAAGUUCCUUUUGCUGAUUAAACUUGCAAACACUUAAAAUCAGAUUUUGGGAACAUGGGUAUAUAUUACUUUGUAACUCACUUCAGAAAAGCAUAAUAAUGAUGAAUAUUUUGGAUAGAAAUAACAAUAUUUAACAUAAGAAUAUGAACCAAAAGCAGUCAUAAAACAGUUAAUUUAAAUUCUCCUAAUUCAGAGGAUAACUAUUUUAAUAGCAUUGUUUUGAAGGUUUGCUUGGGGUUUUUUUCUGGCUAAGGAAAUUGCAAGUAUUUAUUUAUCCAGCUACCUCCACAUUUUCCAGUGUCAUUAUUCCCAGUGAUCCCUACAGUGAUAAGUGGUCAAUGACCCUCACAUAGGAUGAACUACAGAAGUUUGACAGACCUUCAACAGCACAGUGGCAUUCUGCUAAAAGCUCACAUUUUCUCCAAUGGGUUAUUAUACAGGCAGAAUAAAAUGCCUUCUUAAAAACCAACCUUGUCUUUUUUCUCCCUAAAAAGAGAAAUGUUUGUUUUUUCCUUAAUUUGGUGAAAGAAAAAAAUAAAAAGGAAACUCACUGGAAAGGCCAAACCUACCAAUUGGUAGUGCUUCUGUGUGAAUGUCCCCAUUUACACACUCAAACUUGCACCGAGAGACCUUAAACUAAAUUUAAAAUGUCGUUUAUCGGGUGGUGUCAACUGCUGAUUAUCUUCAUCCUUGUUUUCUGUACUGGUUUGGUAUCACUUCAGAACAUUGCCAAUAAUAAAAUUGAUGUGUAAAACUUGAA